rnacentral:tRNA from 1 species
GUCCACGUGGCGGAAUUGGUAGACGCGCUACCUUGAGGGGGUAGUGGGAGUAUUCCCGUGCUGGUUCAACUCCAGUCGUGGACA